AGGGCUAACACAUGGGAGUGACCAAGG
rnacentral:sRNA from 1 species